rnacentral:rRNA from 1 species
GGCUCAGGAUGAACGCUAGCGACAGGCCUAACACAUGCAAGUCGAGGGGCAGCACAAGGAGCAAUCUGAGGUGGCGACCGGCGCACGGGUGAGUAACACGUAUGCAACCUGCCUGUAAGCGGGGAAUAACCCGUUGAAAGACGGACUAAUACCGCAUAAUACUAAAUUACUGCAUGGUAAUUUAUUUAAACAUUUAUGGCUUACAGAUGGGCAUGCGCAUGAUUAGCUAGUUGGAGAGGUAACGGCUCCCCAAGGCAACGAUCAUUAGGGGUUCUGAGAGGAAGGUCCCCCCACACUGGUACUGAGACACGGACCAGACUCCUACGGGAGGCAGCAGUGAGGAAUAUUGGUCAAUGGACGAGAGUCUGAACCAGCCAAGUCGCGUGCAGGAAGAAUGCCCUAUGGAUUGUAAACUGCUUUUGCAGGGGAAUAAAGUGCAUCACGUGUGAUGUUUUGUAUGUACUCUGCGAAUAAGGAUCGGCUAACUCCGUGCCAGCCGCCGC